UACGAAGGGGGCUAGCGUUGCUCGGAAUGACUGGGCGUAAAGGGCGCGUAGGCGGAUGGUACAGUCAGAUGUGAAAUUCCCGGGCUUAACCUGGGGGCUGCAUUUGAUACGUGCGAUCUGGAGUGAGGAAGAGGGUCGUGGAAUUCCCCAGUGUAGAGGUGAAAUUCGUAGAUAUUGGGAAGAACACCGGUGGCGAAGGCGGCGACCUGGUCCUUGACUGACGCUGAGGCGCGAAAGCGUGGGGGAGCAAACAGG
rnacentral:rRNA from 1 species